AAAGUCCUUCCGUUCUGUAGCUUCGAAACAUAAUCUUCUUCGUUGUUUUCAUAAGAAUCAAACUCUUCGAAGCUUCUUAAAACCAGUACCUCGCCAUUGAUCCGCCCCCACCAAUAAUCCACGCCGUCCAGUUUUCUCGCCGGUAUAUUCUUCCCUCCUUUAUUUCCAUUGGACCGUGCGCUACACUUUCCACCAUCGCGCGUAAACGCUGGAUACUAUCGUCAGUUCUUCGCACGGGCCUUUCGAUGCCGUCCCAACGCGUCAUAUAAAACGCUGCGGGCCACGAUCAUCGCUUCUGCCGUACACCUGUAACGUUACGACAUUGUAAGGCGGUGAAUUUUAGAGACCAGGUCACAGCAUGUGACAAUUCUCUAGCAAUUAUGUAGUAGCAGUUGCAGUUGCAGUUGCCUAAGAAUCUUGAAUUGUCGACCUCCUCUUCGUCAUGGAUUCUGAAGGACCCAGAAGCAAAAGCAAACUCGAUCUUGAAAGAAUAUGCACAAGCUUUCAUCAUGACUACGAAGUAACAAGCUUAUAAGAUGUAAUUAGCUCUGAUACAGAGAGUGAUUUCUCACAUUGGGGGGUUAUUUUUUAUACAUGAGGUUCAUUCAAGUGCUUUAACAACCAUGGAAUCUGUUCUUGCAGAUUCCAAGCUUAGAGAAGCUGCCAAUCGUGUUCUGAAACAUCUUCAGUUAGUUGUUUCUGUUCGUUCGGGAACGUACUGGAGCCAUAACCAUGCUUCAACGCUAGCUCUUUGUAUUCUUGCUUCCUCUUUGACUUCUUUGUGAAGGAGAAUGCUCCAGCUAUCUUCUUCUGUGGGGCAAAGCAGAGAACUCAGUGAACGAGGAGUAAAACUGGAACCAACCUGCAACUUGGGGUUGGAUUAUGCUAUGGGGAGAGCAAAUAGAGUACCUUGUAAGUUCUAUGCUUGACUUCUUCGUUCGAAUCGAAAGGAAAGUCAACUCCGUUCACCAAUACGCAGGCUUCGUCUAGUUUCAUUUCAUCUGCUUGUUGAAUUUCGUCUGUUACAUGUUCAAGGACAGUAGCCUCAUGCUCAAUUUCAUCAAGACUCCAUGAACCUGAUCUUCCUGUGUAACAUAUGAUUACAACCAUGUUUAUCAGAUACACUAAAAUAAAACUAAAUCAUCAUUGCAGAGUGUGUAAACAAAAUAAGAUUACUUGAAAGAUAUUAUUUCAGAUUUUCUAUGAAUGAUGUCAGUCUUCCACUAUUUUA